rnacentral:rRNA from 1 species
AGUCUGGUGCCAGCAGCCGCGGUAAUUCCAGCUCUCAAAAUGCAUAGAAUCAUUGCUGCGGUUAAAAAGCUCGUAGUUGGAUCUGUGCUGGCGGGUCGGUCCACCUUCGGGUGCGCACUGAUUUCGCCGGCUUUCCUGCUGUAUUUGGCCCUGUGCCUUUCAACGGGUGCAGUGUCCAGUGCAGCAAGUUUACCUUGAACAAAUCAGAGUGCUUCAAACAGGCGUUUCGCUUGAAUGUUCGUGCAUGGAAUAAUAGAAGAGGAUUUCGGUUCUAUUUUAUUGGUUUUAUAGACUGAGAUAAUGGUUAACAGAGACUAACGGGGGCAUUAGUAUUGCUACGUGAGAGGUGAAAUUCUUGGACCGUAGCAAGACUGACUACAGCGAAAGCAUUUGCCAAGAAAGUCUUCAUUAAUCAAGAACGAAAGUCAGAGGUUCGAAGGCGAUCAGAUACCGCCCUAGUUCUGACCGUAAACGAUGCCAACUAGUGAUCCGCCGGUGGAACAUUCGCCCUGGUGGGGAACUUCCCGGAAACGAAAGUCUUCCGGUUCCGGGGGAAGUAUGGUUGCAAAGCUGAAACUUAAAGGAAUUGACGGAAGGGCACCACCAGGAGUGGAGCCUGCGGCUUAAUUUGACACAACACGGGAAAACUCACCCGGCCCGGACACCGUAAGGAUUGACAGAUUGAUAGCUCUUUCAUGAUUCGGUGGAUGGUGGUGCAUGGCCGUUCUUAGUUCGUGGAGCGAUUUGUCUGGUUUAUUCCGAUAACGAGCGAGACUCUGGCCUACUAAAUAGUUUACACAUUGCUUCUGUGUGCAUAACUUCUUAGAGGGAUUUUCAGUGUUCAGCCGCAAGAAAUUGAGCAAUAACAGGUCUGUGAUGCCCUUAGAUGUCCGGGGCUGCACGCGCGCUACACUGGCAAAAUCAGCGUGCUUGUCCUUCCCCGAAAGGGGUUGGUAAACUCGUGAAAAUUUGCCGUGAUUGGGAUCGGAAAUUGCAAUUAUUUUCCGUGAACGAGGAAUUCCAAGUAAGUGCGAGUCAUCAACUCGCGUUGAUUACGUCCCUGCCCUUUGUACACACCGCCCGUCGCUGCCCGGGACUGAGCCGUUUCGAGAAACUUGGAGACCGCUGAUCUGGUAACUUCGAUUGCCAUUUUGGUGGGAACCAAUUUAA